rnacentral:tRNA from 4 species
GCCUAGUUAGCUCAGCGGCAGAGCAAUCGGCUGUUAACCGAUCGGUCGUAGGUUCAAAUCCUACACUAGGCGCCA